rnacentral:rRNA from 1 species
UACGGGGGAGGCAAGCGUUGUUCGGAUUUACUGGGCGUAAAGGGCGCGUAGGCGGCCACCGCAAGUCGACUGUGAAAUCUCCGGGCUUAACCCGGAAAGGUCAGCCGAUACUGCGGGCUAGAGUGCAGAAGGGGCAACUGGAAUUCUCGGUGUAGCGGUGAAAUGCGUAGAUAUCGUAAGGAAGACCAGUGGCGAAAGCGAGUCUCUGGACAGAUGCUGACACUGAGGCACGAAGGCCAGGGGAGCAAACGGG